rnacentral:rRNA from 1 species
AUGGGGGUCAGCAAAGCACACGAGCCAUUGCACGUUGCUGAUUGCUUGGCUGAUGUCAGUGUAGUACUCAAUCCAGAACCCGGCAUCAACCCAGAAUCCAAACAACCAAAUCAUCUUAACUCGCUGAUAAGAUUUAAUUUGCUCGUCUUGUCAUCUGCUAAAAUACAAUCAAAACUAAAAUCUGGCAGGGCAAACUCGCUAUGUCCAUUUAUUCAUCUUUGUUGGAAGGAAGACAAUACAAGCGCAGGAAGAAAAAGGAAAUCCAUUACUGAGAGCCUGUUCGCACUCUCUCCCCGCUCCAACUCCACUAUGGAGCGGACCAGUAUCCAGUUCAAAUUUCGCUGA